rnacentral:rRNA from 1 species
GAUGAACGCUGGCGGCGUGCCUAAUACAUGCAAGUCGAGCGAACAGACGAGGAGCUUGCUCCUCUGACGUUAGCGGCGGACGGGUGAGUAACACGUGGAUAACCUACCUAUAAGACUGGGAUAACUUCGGGAAACCGGAGCUUAUCCCGGAUAAUAUAUUGAACCGCAUGGUUCAAUAGUGAAAGACGGUUUUGCUGUCACUUAUCGAUGGAUCCGCGCCGCAUUAGUUAGUUGGUAAGGUAACGGCUUACCAAGGCGACGAUGGGUAGCCGACCUGAGAGGGUGAUCGGCCACACUGGAACUGAGACACGGUCCAGACUCCUACGGGAGGCAGCAGUAGGGAAUCUUCCGCAAUGGGCGGAAGCCUGACGGAGCAACGCCGGGUGAGUGAUGAAGGUCUGCGGAUCGUAAAACUCUGUUAUUAGGGAAGAACAAAUGUGUAAGUAACUAUGCACGUCUUGACGGUACCUAAUCAGAAAGCCACGGCUAACUACGUG